rnacentral:rRNA from 1 species
UUGUUAUUAAAGAUUUAUCGGUAACCGAUGGGGAUGCGUUCCAUUAGGCAGUGGGCGGGGUAACGGCCCACCAAACCGACGAUGGAUAGGGGGUUCUGAGAGGAAGGUCCCCCACAUUGGAACUGAGACACGGUCCAAACUCCUACGGGAGGCAGCAGUGAGGAAUAUUGGUCAAUGGGCGAGAGCCUGAACCAGCCAAGUAGCGUGAAGGAUGACUGCCCUAUGGGUUGUAAACUUCUUUUAUGCGGGAAUAACAAGCGGCACGUGUGCCGUUCUGCAUGUACCGUAUGAAUAAGCAUCGGCUAACUCCGUGCCAGCAGCCGCGGUAAUACGGAGGAUGCGAGCGUUAUCCGGAUUUAUUGGGUUUAAAGGGAGCGCAGACGGGUCUUUAAGUCAGUUGUGAAAGUUUGCGGCUCAACCGUAAAAUUGCAGUUGAUACUGGAGACCUUGAGUGCGGUAUAGGCAGGCGGAAUUCGUGGUGUAGCGGUGAAAUGC